rnacentral:misc_RNA from 1 species
ACCGUGGUUUCACAGGGGCUGGCGUACCAGCAGCCCAUGGACGACAGUGGACAGGAGCAUCACGUGCCCAUGUUGUUGAAUGACGGACGGGAAGUGCCCAAAUUUCUCCCUGAUAAAACAGCAUUCGGGUAUGAUGUGCAUUAUCUACAAAAGCUGAAACACGCUUUCAACACUUCGAACAGCAAUGGAUCAGAGAGCUUGAGAGUGAACAUCUCAAAAAAAACAAAGGUCUUUGACGCCUCCCCAUCUGUCAUUGUAAUCGACAGUGAUGAUGAAGGCGAGAAAUUACCCACUAAGAUCACUUUUCCUGAGGCUUUCAAGGACAUACAGACCCCAGUCCCAGCUACGCAGAACACAAAAUGGACGCAACCCUCUCAGCCCGCUCCCACAAAGAAGCUGCGAAUGUCAACGAAAGUCGUCUCCGAAGAGGAGGAUCAAGGUUUUCUCAUCAGCCAGCAGAAGAAAACCAAAGAGGAAGAUGUGGGUGCCAUAGUUGUGGAUCCACCUUUUGCUGUUGACACUGGACAGAUGGGGGGCCUGGGGAUCCAGAUGAGGACUGGGGGAAUUGAGGACCUGAACGAGAUUCUGGAGUUGAUGGAAGAGAUUGGGGAGAUAGAGCCAAGCCAAAAGGAGCGCAAGAAAAACUUUGAGAAAGGAAAAGUGGUCAAUGGUGAGAGGGAUGCCUUGGUAGAGCUGUUGAACAACGAGAACCGGAUGACAACCGGAGUAACUGGAGUUUUGUGCUCCGGAAUGAAGAGUUCUCACUAUGAUGAAUACAACGAGGGCCACUUCUCGAUCCUGAAACAGCUGGGGACCGGCUCUUACGGCUCGGUUGACCUGUGCAGAGAUAACGCCACCAACAAGGAGUUUGUUCUCAAGAAGGUGCAGAAGGAUUUCAAAGUUGGAGAGGUGGUCGUGUUGUUGUACCUGGAGCAUGAGAACAUCACAACCCUCUACGGAUACAUCAAGAGGGACAGCGUCUCCGAGAUCCUGAUGGAAUACGCAGGGACGAACCUGCUGAACUUUGUCCUGAAGCGACAGACCAUGGAGGAGACGCUGAUCUGGAGCAUGACGACCCAGUGUCUGUCGGCCCUCAAGUACCUGGAUGAACACCAAAUCAAACACCUGGAUCUGAAGCCGGAGAACAUCUGCGUCACCGAUGACCUGAAGAUCAAAAUAACAGACUUCGGUUCCGCUAAGGUUGGUAACCAGGAGCAAGACUACCAGGGCUGGACAUCAGAGUACAUGGCCCCCGAGAUGUGCCGCGCCUUCCUCAAGAGUCGCUACCCCAACGUCUUCAAGAACGAGACGGAGGACUUCUCUCUGACCGGCAAGGUAGACGUGUUUGCGUUUGGCCUGGUGCUGCAGUUCAUGCUGGAGAAGACGCACACCCAGAUGAAGUUCUUCACCAAUGGUGCCUCCUCCUACACCAACGUGGAGGACGUCAACAAACUGAGGCUCGACAUCAUCAUCGCUAAUGCACGGGACCCAGACAUGGUGUUGAAGCAUAUGCUGACAGACAAAGGAAGUACUGCUAUAAAAGAGCUAUUGAAGGGACUUCUACAAGGUGUUCCCAAAAAUCGACUAUCCGCAGAACAGGGGCUUCUCAAAAUUGAAGCAAUGAAGAGAAAAAACAUGAUUCCGUGUUUUCCAUUAUCGGAGGCAAGAGUGGAAGCUUCGACCAAAGUGACGUCCUUCUGUCGCCGCCGAUCGCGUCAGCUGAGCACGAUGACAUCUGUGUGCAGCAACACCUCCCAGAUGGAGGAACCAAUGUCCCCAGGGCCCAUGAAAGCCCCACGCAAGGGAAGAAAGAGAAUGGCUCCCUAUGAGCCAGAGGAGCCGAAACCUGUCAUGGUGGACAACAGCCUUCUGGGAAAUGUGCCUGACUUCUCCAUCCUUCAGGCCUAGUUUUUGUGUUACUCAGAAAGUCUCUUGAAGAUUAAAAGUGUUUAU